rnacentral:rRNA from 1 species
UGGGGAAUAUUGGACAAUGGGCGAAAGCCUGAUCCAGCCAUGCCGCGUGUGUGAAGAAGGUCUUCGGAUUGUAAAGCACUUUAAGUUGGGAGGAAGGGCCAUUACCUAAUACGUGAUGGUUUUGACGUUACCGACAGAAUAAGCACCGGCUAACUCUGUGCCAGCAGCCGCGGUAAUACAGAGGGUGCAAGCGUUAAUCGGAAUUACUGGGCGUAAAGCGCGCGUAGGUGGUUUGUUAAGUUGGAUGUGAAAUCCCCGGGCUCAACCUGGGAACUGCAUUCAAAACUGACUGACUAGAGUAUGGUAGAGGGUGGUGGAAUUUCCUGUGUAGCGGUGAAAUGUGUAGAUAUAGGAAGGAACACCAGUGGCGAAGGCGACCACCUGGACUGAUACUGACACUGAGGUGCGAAAGCGUGGGGAGCAAACAGGAUUAGAUACCCCGGUAGUCCCUGAGCGGGCUGGCAAGGCGCAU